rnacentral:rRNA from 1 species
CCUACGGGGGGCAGCAGUGGGGAAUAUUGCACAAUGGGGGGAACCCUGAUGCAGCAACGCCGCGUGGGUGAAGAAGUACUUCGGUAUGUAAAGCCCUGUCAGCAGGGAAGAAAAUGACGGUACCUGACCAAGAAGCCCCGGCUAACUACGUGCCAGCAGCCGCGGUAAUACGUAGGGGGCAAGCGUUAUCCGGAUUUACUGGGUGUAAAGGGCGUGUAGGCGGGAAAGCAAGUCAGAUGUGAAAACCAUGGUCUCAACCUGUGGCCUGCAUUUGAAACUGUUUUUCUUGAGUACUGGAGAGGCAGACGGAAUUCCUAGUGUAGCGGUGAAAUGCGUAGAUAUUAGGAGGAACACCAGUGGCGAAGGCGGUCUGCUGGACAGCAACUGACGCUGAGGCGCGAAAGCGUGGGGAGCAAACAGGAUUAGAUACCCUUGUAGUC